CAGCAUCUUUGAGCGACAAAUCACAGGAAGCUGCUAAUCAUAGCACAGCUACAGUGCAGUCUAAGGAUCGACAUGAGUUCUGCGCAGUUUGCAGAUUUUACAAUCCCAACCUACAAGUGCUCUCUGGCAGAUUUGGUGGUACUCAGUAGAUUCAACAGUGCAAUAUGUGUGACUAAUUAAGAUUGCAAAUGCGAAAACCUUAAAGCACUGAUGUGGAAUUCCCACAAUUAGAACAGGAGGCCAAGGAACAUGGCAAGAGAAGCUCUACUACUGUCAGAGGUGUUCAAGAGGACCUGCAGCACAAAUUCCCUAUCCAUUGGGCUGGAUGAGAGCUCAGCACCAGAAGCGGUGGCUAUUCAGUGAUCAGAACUGCUUCCAUGGAAGAUUGACCUGACACUAGAGCAAAGGCUCCCUCUGGAGGGGAAUCUGUAUGAGUUCAGGAAGGGGCUGAGGCUGCUAACAGAUGUCAACGAGAGCUUGAACGUUUACUGCUGAAGUCAGUGGAUCUCUGCAAAGGUUAAUUACAGAAUCAGACUCACCCACUUCCAACAGUGGCUAGCUUGUCUCUCUAAAUGAUGGGAAGGGGCCCUUGGCAGUGGGGGGCCAAAAUAGGCCAUGUCACUGUGAAAAUAAACAAAAAGACUAAAAAUGGUCUACUGCACCCCAUGGCCCUACAUAGCUAAAAAGUCAGGGGAGUCACAGCACCAUUUGAGGGCCCCCCCACACCCUGUGAGGUACAUAUUUUUAUCCCCAUUUUGCAUACAGGGAAAUACAAGGCACAGAGAACUAAACUGACUUGGGAAAGGUCACGCAAUGUAUCAACGGCGGAGCUCAGAAUGAAACCCUGAUCUCCUGACUCCCAGUUCUGCACUCUAAUUAAUCAAUCACACUUCUGUCCAUGCAGGAAAUAUGCAAGCUCACUUGCUAUCCAGGAACCUGAUGAACUUCACGUUUCAAACCAUUGCAUCAGAGGUGAAGAAAAGAAUAUAGCCCUUGUCUGUGGCUGAUUUUUAUCCAGUAGACAAAAGAAAAGAGACUACUGAGUACAUAAGGGACCCCAAGGCAAUGUGAAGUAGUCAAAAUCUGAUCAAGUUACAAGGGAAAACAGGUCCAUUGUCAACUUUCUUUUUUACCUUCCAUAAGAGACCAGUAUGAGCUUGAACUGUACUGACUAGAUCAGACACUUUUGGCAGUGCAAAGCGCUGUGUUGAUAACUUUCCAGGAGCCCCAAGGGUGCAGCUAAAUUGCACAUAUGUUUUCAUAAAUUUACAUUCAUUUUGGUGUCCAUUUGUAUUCUCCCCAUGAUGCAAUUUGCAUAAA